CAAUUAUACCUCCGCCCCAAAUUUGUUGUCUUACAUUUGCCUAGAUACAGAUGUAUCUUAAUUCUAAAACGUGUCAGAUACAUCUGUAUCUUGAUAAAUUUAAGACAACUAAUUCGGGGCGGAAGGAGUACUAA
rfam:Triticum aestivum genome assembly, contig: Triticum_aestivum_CS42_TGACv1_scaffold_404287_5BL